rnacentral:tmRNA from 1 species
UGGCUUCAAAGUUUAACUCGUCAUCUCUAUAUUAGAACCGUUCGGGCUUGCCCGGACUAUGGCGAUAAACGGCUGCGUAAUAAGCGGACUGGACCCGGGGGCGGUACCCGGCGCCUCCACCAAAUGCUCUCCCAUUCACGGAGAGUAUCUGUGGGGGCGAAACAGGAUCGACAGACGUGUAAAGGCUGACCUUUCGCCCGGUAUGGUAUCCGCCGUUAUCGGGCUAAUCGUAACAGG